rnacentral:lncRNA from 1 species
UGGAGAGGAGUGGUGUGUAGGUCUUUAGUGUGGUGGGUUCGAUUCCCCUAUGUGUAGUUUUUUUUCUUUUAACAUUUUCUUUUAUAUUUAUGCUUUAUUACUCAUAGCUUUUUAUUAUUGUUUAAUAAUAUAGAUUUGUUUUUCUUUUAAUUGCAUCAUGUGUUCGAAACCAUUUUAAAACUAUAAAAAUCAUAUUUUUUUCUCGAUUCAAUAUCGAGCCCAUUUUCACACCUUUGUAAGUUGAUUGCUUUUUAAGCAUCGCCAUCAACCUCACAUAGCUUACUCUUGGGCUUUCUUACAAUGAG